rnacentral:rRNA from 1 species
GACGGAGGGGGCUAGCGUUGUUCGGAAUUACUGGGCGUAAAGGGCGCGUAGGCGGCCAAUCAAGUUAGGCGUGAAAUCCCUGGGCUUAACCCAGGAACUGCGUUUAAUACUGAUUAGCUAGAGAUUGGUAGAGGAAAGUGGAAUUCCUAGUGUAGAGGUGAAAUUCGUAGAUAUUAGGAAGAACACCAGAGGCGAAGGCGGCUUUCUGGGCCAAUACUGACGCUGAGGCGCGAAAGCGUGGGGAGCAAACAGG